rnacentral:rRNA from 1 species
CCUAAGUCGAGUCCGAAAGGGGUAGACGAUGGCAAAUUGGUUAAUAUUCCAAUACCAACAUUAGUGUGCGAUGGAAGGACGCUUAGGGCUAAGGGGGCUAGCGGAUGGAAGUGCUAGUCUAAGGUCGUAGGAGGUUGUACAGGCAAAUCCGUAUAACAAUACUCCGAGAACUGAAAGGCUUUUUGAAGUCUUCGGAUGGAUAGAAGAACCCCUGAUGCUGUCGAGCCAAGAAAAGUUUCUAAGUUUAGCUAAUGUUGCCCGUACCGUAAACCGACACAGGUGGGUGGGAUGAGUAUUCUAAGGCGCGUGGAAGAACUCUCUUUAAGGAACUCUGCAAAAUAGCACCGUAUCUUCGGUAUAAGGUGUGGUUAGCUUUGUAUUAGGAUUUACUCCGAAAGCAAGGAAACUUACAACAAAGAGUCCCUCCCGACUGUUUACCAAAAACACAGCACUCUGCUAACUCGUAAGAGGAUGUAUAGGGUGUGACGCCUGCCCGGUGCUCGAAGGUUAAUUGAUGGGGUUAGCAUUAGCGAAGCUCUUGAUCGAAGCCCGAGUAAACGGCGGCCGUAACUAUAACGGUCCUAAGGUAGCGAAAUUCCUUGUCGGUUAAAUACCGACCUGCAUGAAUGGCGUAACGAGAUGGGAGCUGUCUCAAAGAGGGAUCCAGUGAAAUUGUAGUGGAGGUGAAAAUUCCUCCUACCCGCGGCAAGACGGAAAGACCCCGUGGACCUUUACUACAGCUUGACACUGCUACUUGGAUAAGAAUGUGCAGGAUAGGUGGGAGGCUUUGAGUAUAUGACGCCAGUUGUAUAUGAGCCAUUGUUGAGAUACCACUCUUUCUUAUUUGGGUAGCUAACCAGCUUGAGUUAUCCUCAAGUGGGACAAUGUCUGGUGGGUAGUUUGACUGGGGCGGUCGCCUCCCAAAUAAUAACGGAGGCUUACAAAGGUUGGCUCAGAACGGUUGGAAAUCGUUCGUAGAGUAUAAAGGUAUAAGCCAGCUUAACUGCAAGACAUACAAGUCAAGCAGAGACGAAAGUCGGUCUUAGUGAUCCGGUGGUUCUGUGUGGAAGGGCCAUCGCUCAAAGGAUAAAAGGUACCCCGGGGAUAACAGGCUGAUCUCCCCCAAGAGCUCACAUCGACGGGGAGGUUUGGCACCUCGAUGUCGGCUCAUCGCAUCCUGGGGCUGGAGCAGGUCCCAAGGGUAUGGCUGUUCGCCAUUUAAAGCGGUACGCGAGCUGGGUUCAGAACGUCGUGAGACAGUUCGGUCCCUAUCUGCCGUGGGCGUAAGAAGAUUGAAGAGAUUUGACCCUAGUACGAGAGGACCGGGUUGAACAAACCACUGGUGUAGCUGUUGUUCUGCCAAGAGCAUCGCAGCGUAGCUAAGUUUGGAAAGGAUAAACGCUGAAAGCAUCUAAGCGUGAAGCCAACUCUAAGAUGAAUCUUCUCUAAGCUCUCUAGAAGACUACUAGUUUGAUAGGCUGGGUGUGUAAUGGAUGAAAGUCCUUUAGCUGACCAGUACUAAUAGAGCGUUUGG